rnacentral:rRNA from 1 species
UACGUAGGGACCAAGCGUUGUUCGGAUUUACUGGGCGUAAAGGGCGCGUAGGCGGCGUGGUAAGUCACUUGUGAAAUCUCUGGGCUUAACCCAGAACGGUCAGCCGAUACUGCGGGGCUAGAGUGCAGAAGGGGCAACUGGAAUUCUCGGUGUAGCGGUGAAAUGCGUAGAUAUCGAGAGGAACACCUGCGGCGAAGGCGGGUUGCUGGGCUGACACUGACGCUCAGGCACGAAAGCGUGGGGAGUAAACAGG